rnacentral:misc_RNA from 1 species
GUCAUGCUGAGCUUGUCGAAGCAUCUCUCCCGCUUCGUUGGGUUACCAUGGCAAUGAAGCGGGAGAGAUGCUUCGACAAGCUCAGCAUGAC